AUGAGUGAACCAACUGGUCUUGCUGAGGCUUUCGAGAAGCUUGCUAAGAUCCUCGCUGAGUCCAACUCUAGGGCCAUUGUUCCUCGACAGGAAGUGGCUCAUAAGCUCGAAAUGUCACCCCUGGACAUGAAGCUGGAGGGGGCCACAAAUUAUUUGAGUUGGUCCAGGAGGGCAUUGCUGGCUGUGGAACAAAAGGAACUUGAUGGGCACUUAUUGGGUGCGGUUGAUGAACCAGGAGACAAGACUACCGCGGAGGGAAAGAGGUGGAAGGUCAUAAACUCCGUGCUCGUUGGCUGGUUGUUGAACUCAGUGGUGCCCCCCAUUGGACGCUCUGUGGAGGGACUAUCCACGUCCGCCGAGAUAUGGAAGACUUUAUCCGCCCAAUACUCAGGCAAGGGUAAUUUCAUGCUAAUUGCUCAGAUUGAGGGGAAGAUCAGUCGGCUGCGCCAAGGUGACGACAUGUCAGUAAUGGCAUAUGUGGCAGAGCUGCAGGCUUUGUGGGCGGAGCAGGAUAACUGCGAUCCUCUGGAACUCUAUGAUGCUGCUUGCAUCGAGUCCGGGCGCAAUUGGAUUGCACGCAGGCGUGUGUUGAAACUAUUGGAAGGGCUCAGAGGUUGCUUUCAUGGAAGGGGGGCAUCCCUGUUGCACCAGCCUCUCCUGCCAACUAUUGAGGAGACUAUUGCAGCAAUGUCUCAAGAGGAGGUGAGGCUAUCUCUUGAGCAUGCAGACAUGAAGGCUGUGCCGGCUUCGACAUUUGCUGUCACUGAGCGCAUGGAGUGGGGAGAUCCCAACAAAUGUCAUGUUUGUGGGGAGAUAGGUCACUGGAAGAGGGAAUGUCCAACUCGUGGCAGAGGCAGGGGAUACAAUAGAGGGGGGACUGGCAGAGGUAGGCAUGCUAGAGGCAGAGGUGGAUACCUAGGGAACUCACGGGGUCAACUUUCUAGGGGCAGAGGUGGUUACUCAGGAAACUCAGGGGGUGAGAGGGCGCAUAUGGUAGUUGAAGGGGACACUGGGACGUCAAAGGGCAAGGAAGUUGACGAGGCUGCCUAUGGAGACUUUGCUCAUUGGGCCUCCACUGAUGAAGGGCACUAUACAAACUGCUGA
rnacentral:rRNA from 1 species